rnacentral:rRNA from 1 species
UACGUAGGGGGCUGGCGUUGUCCGGAAUCAUUGGGCGUAAAGAGCGUGUAGGCGGCCCGGUAAGUCCGCUGUAAAAGUCAAAGGCUCAACCUUUGAAUGUCAGUGGAUACUGCCGGGCUAGAGUCCGGAAGAGGCGAGUGGAACUCCUGGUGUAGCGGUGGAAUGCGCAGAUAUCAGGAAGAACACCAACGGCGAAGGCAGCUCGCUGGGACGGUACUGACGCUGAGACGCGAAAGCGUGGGGAGCGAACAGG